rnacentral:rRNA from 1 species
GCCUACGGGGCGCAGCAGUGAGGAAUAUUGGUCAAUGGGCGGGAGCCUGAACCAGCCACGCCGCGUGAGGGAAGAAGGUACUGAGAAUUGAAAACCUCUUUUGCCAGGGGACAAAGGCGGCCACGGGUGGCCGUAAGAGGGUACCUGGAGAAAAAGCAUCGGCUAACUCCGUGCCAGCAGCCGCGGUAAUACGGAGGAUGCGCGCGUUAUCCGGAUCUAUUGGGUUUAAAGGGUGCGCAGGCGGCGUGUCAAGUCAGCGGUCAAAUGUCGGGGCUCAACCC